rnacentral:misc_RNA from 1 species
UUGAUUUAUUUGUUUGUUUUACUCAGAAGUUACAAUAAGAAACAUUAGAGUUUGGGUCCUCUGGCGGGCCGCCGGAGCGGGCACCGCCGAGGCAACGAUAGGUAUGUUCACAGGGGUUUGGGAGUUGUAAACUCGAUAAUGAUCCCUCCGCUGGUUCACCAACGGAGA